rnacentral:rRNA from 1 species
UACGUAGGGGGCAAGCGUUGUCCGGAAUUAUUGGGCGUAAAGCGCGCGCAGGCGGUCUUUUAAGUCUGGGGUAUAAACACAGGGCUCAACCCUGUGUCGCCCCGGAAACUGGGGGACUGGAGUGCAGGAGAGGAAAGCGGAAUUCCACGUGUAGCGGUGAAAUGCGUAGAGAUGUGGAGGAACACCAGUGGCGAAGGCGGCUUUCUGGCCUGUAACUGACGCUGAGGCGCGAAAGCCAGGGGAGCGAAUGGG